AUGAACGCUGGCGGUGUGCCUAAUACAUGCAAGUCGCGCGAACAGACGAGGAGCUUGCUCCUCUGACGUUAGCGGCGGACGGGUGAGUAACACGUGGAUAACCUACCUAUAAGACUGGGAUAACUUCGGGAAACCGGAGCUAAUACCGGAUAAUAUAUUGAACCGCAUGGUUCAAUAGUGAAAGACGGUUUUGCUGUCACUUAUAGAUGGAUCCGCGCCGCAUUAGCUAGUUGGUAAGGUAACGGCUUACCAAGGCAACGAUGCGUAGCCGACCUGAGAGGGUGAUCAGCCACACGGGAACUGAGACACGGUCCAGACUCCUACGGGAGGCAGCAGUAGGGAAUCUUCCGCAAUGGGCGAAAGCCUGACGGAGCAACGCCGCGUGAGUGAUGAAGGUCUUCGGAUCGUAAAACUCUGUUAUUAGGGAAGAACAAAUGUGUAAGUAACUAUGCACGUCUUGACGGUACCUAAUCAGAAAGCCACGGCUAACUACGUG
rnacentral:rRNA from 1 species